rnacentral:rRNA from 1 species
GUGAGGAAUAUUGCGCAAUGGAGGCAACUCUGACGCAGCCAUGCCGCGUGCAGGAAGAAGGCGCUACGCGUUGUAAACUGCUUUUAACCGGGAAGAAACCCCAGGACGUGUCCUGGGUUGACGGUACCGGAGGAAUAAGCACCGGCUAACUUCGUGCCAGCAGCCGCGGUAAUACGAAGGGUGCAAGCGUUAUCCGGAUUCAUUGGGUUUAAAGGGUGCGUAGGCGGAGCGUUAAGUCAGUGGUGAAAUCCUGCAGCUUAACUGUAGACUUGCCAUUGAUACUGGCGCUCUUGAGUGCGCUUGAAGUGGGCGGAAUGUGCCGUGUAGCGGUGAAAUGCUUAGAUAUGGCACAGAACACCAAUUGCGAGGGCAGCUCACUAAGGCGAUACUGACGCUGAGGCACGAAAGCGUGGGGAUCGAACAGGAUUAGAUACCCGAGUAGUCC